GAUGAACGCUGGCGGCAUGCCUAAUACAUGCAAGUCGAACGAGAGGAAGGAAAGCUUGCUUUCCUGAAUCUAGUGGCGAACGGGUGAGUAACACGUAGGUAACCUGCCCAUGUGCCCGGGAUAACUUCUGGAAACGGAUGCUAAAACCGGAUAGGUAGCAGACAAGCAUUUGACUGCUAUUAAAGUGGCCUUGGCCAUGAACAUGGAUGGACCUGCGGUGCAUUAGCUAGUUGGUGAGGUAACGGCCCACCAAGGCGACGAUGCAUAGCCGGCCUGAGAGGGCGGACGGCCACAUUGGGACUGAGACACGGCCCAAACUCCUACGGGAGGCAGCAGUAGGGAAUUUUCGUCAAUGGGGGGAACCCUGAACGAGCAAUGCCGCGUGAGUGAGGAAGGUCUUCGGAUCGUAAAGCUCUGUUGUAAGAGAAAAACGGCACUCAUAGGGAAUGAUGAGUGAGUGAUGGUAUCUUACCAGAAAGUCACGGCUAACUACGUGCCAGCAGCCGCGGUAA
rnacentral:rRNA from 1 species